AACCUAGCACACCUGCGGUGUGUACCUGCGGAAGGAUCAUUACCGAGUUUACAAACUCCCAAACCCUUUGUGAACCUUACCUAUCGUUGCUUCGGCGGGAUCGCCCCGGGCCGGCCCUUCACGGGGCCUCCGGAACCAGGCGCCCGCCGGAGAACCCAAACUCUUUGUUUUUAUGGUUUUCUCCUCUGAGUGGAUUAUAAACAAAUAAAUCAAAACUUUUAACAAUGGAUCUCAGAUCGG
rnacentral:misc_RNA from 1 species